rnacentral:rRNA from 1 species
UACGUAGGGUGCGAGCGUUAAUCGGAAUUACUGGGCGUAAAGCGUGCGUAGGUGGUUCGUUGUGUCUGUGGUGAAAGCCCCGGGCUUAACCUGGGAAUGGCCAUGGAAACUGGCGAGCUGGAGUGUGGCAGAGGGGGGUGGAAUUCCGCGUGUAGCAGUGAAAUGCGUAGAGAUGCGGAGGAACACCGAUGGCGAAGGCAGCCCCCUGGGCUAACACUGACGCUGAGUGAGCGAAAGCCAGGGGAGCAAACGGG